CAGUGGCGUAGCCAGGGUUGAAAUGAUGUGGAUGCCUUCGCCGAGCGGAGCGAGGCGAAAAACUUUUGGGACUAUUUUAUGCAGCAAAAUUAUUUUUUCCUACCUUUUUUCCGGUAGGCACGUGAACUCCCCAGAAUCCGACACUGAUUUGAUUUUUGUUUUAUCUCAAAAUACCCAACAAUUCAUGUAAUUACAUAUCUAACAAAACUUUAUUGUUUUCUCGAAAAUAAAUUUAAGUAAUAAUUAUUUGAUGUAAAAAUUUCCCACCCAAUCUCAUAUUUGACAUCUCAUAAACGACUCCAUCACAGCGGCACUUCUGUAUAUAGGAACUGAAGUGAACCCCUUUCCUAGAAUUUCUCAAAAAUGGUCCCAUUACAGCGGCACUAUAGGAACUGAUGUGACUCCCCUUAACACGUCGUAGGGGACAUCAUGGAAAUACCUGGGGUCCGUCCGUCCGGUCUUGUUAGCAUUCUCAUGUGAAUGAUUCUUGCCAGAUUUUCAUAUCAUCAG
rnacentral:lncRNA from 1 species